GGGAGUAACCAUAAAGAAAUACUGCGGAGGGACAGGCGUUCAGUUGAAGGCUGUUUCCUGAGUGAAUCACAGCUGCAAUGAAAUGUGCGGCAUCAGAGGUAUGAAAGGAUAUCGACAACAGCACUCUGACAAACGAUUCUAUAGGCAAGAGAUUAAAGGACUCGGAUUGCAGGACCUCGGAUGGGAGUCUCUUCUGAGGUUCCAUAGACCCUCCUCCUUUGUUACAAUGACACUUGAGCAACUGUGGAUUGUGAAAUGAAGGAUUAUAAACCAGGGCCAGGAGAACUAUAGCAGAAAAUGAACUAAGGAAGAAGCUGGAACCAGAUUAUAAGAACACACUGAACAGACAUCCUGGAGACAGAGAUCUACAAAAACCAAAAGAUAGAAGGAACUGUGGAGUCAAAGUCAGACAAAGAACCUGAAACCAGAGAGAUCAGGUCAGGAUAAGGCACUACUGAAGAAACAGACCUGCCUCAAAUGGAAGGUUAUUCCUCCUGAUGACUCAAGAUCCACAGAUUGGCAUCUUGGACAUAGAUCCAAGAGAUUACGAUGAAAG